GAUGAACGCUGACAGAAUGCUUAACACAUGCAAGUCGAUGGGGAAGUGGUGCUUGCACCAUGGCAACCAUGGCGGACGGGUGAGUAACGCGUAAGGGACUUACCUGCAGGACUGGGAUAACAGGGGGAAACUCCUGACAAGACCGGAUAAUGUCAUGGAGCUGCAUGGCUUUAUGAUGAAAGGAGACGCCUGCGGAGAGCCUUGCGUCCUAUCAGCUAGUUGGUGAGGUAAUGGCUCACCAAGGCGAAGAUAGGUAGCCGGCCUGAGAGGGUGGACGGCCACAAGGGGACUGAGAUACGGCCCUUACUCCUACGGGAGGCAGCAGUGGGGAAUAUUGGACAAUGGGGGCAACCCUGAUCCAGCAAUUCUGUGUGCACGAAGAAGGUUUUCGGAUUGUAAAGUGCUUUCAGCAGGGAAGAAGUAAGUGACGGUACCUGCAGAAGAAGCGACGGCUAAAUACGUG
rnacentral:rRNA from 1 species